rnacentral:rRNA from 1 species
UCUUAGUGGCGGACGGGCGAGUAACGCGUGAGGAACCUGCCCUUCAGUGGGGAAUAACGGCUGGAAACGGUCGCUAAUACCGCAUGACACAUUGGUACCGCAUGAUACUGAUGUCAAAGGAGCAAUCCGCUGAAGGAUGGCCUUGCGUCCGAUUAGCUAGUUGGUGGGGUAACGGCCUACCAAGGCGACGAUCGGUAGCCGAACUGAGAGGUUGAUCGGCCGCAUUGGGACUGAGACACGGCCCAGACUCC